rnacentral:snRNA from 1 species
GUGCUCGCUUUGGCAGCACAUAUACUAAAAUUGGAACGAUACAGAGAAGAUUAGCAUGGCCCCUGCACAAGGAUGACAUGCAAAUUCGUGAAGCGUUCCAUAUUAAA